GGUUAAGUUAGAAAGGGCGCACGGUGGAUGCCUUGGCACUAGGAGCCGAUGAAGGACGGGACGAACACCGAUAUGCUUCGGGGAGCUGUAAGCAAGCUUUGAUCCGGAGAUUUCCGAAUGGGGAAACCCACCACUCGUAAUGGAGUGGUAUCCAUAUCUGAAUACAUAGGAUAUGAGAAGGCAGACCCGGGGAACUGAAACAUCUAAGUACCCGGAGGAAGAGAAAGCAAAUGCGAUUCCCUGAGUAGCGGCGAGCGAAACGGGACCAGCCCAAACCAAGAGGCUUGCCUCUUGGGGUUGUAGGACACUCUGUACGGAGUUACAAAGGGACGAGGUAGAUGAAGAGGUCUGGAAAGGCCCGCCAUAGGAGGUAACAGCCCUGUAGUCAAAACUUCGUUCUCUCCUGAGUGGAUCCUGAGUACGGCGGAACACGUGAAAUUCCGUCGGAAUCCGGGAGGACCAUCUCCCAAGGCUAAAUACUCCCUAGUGACCGAUAGUGAACCAGUACCGUGAGGGAAAGGUGAAAAGCACCCCGGAAGGGGAGUGAAAGAGAUCCUGAAACCGUGUGCCUACAAGUAGUCAGAGCCCGUUAACGGGUGAUGGCGUGCCUUUUGUAGAAUGAACCGGCGAGUUACGAUCCCGUGCAAGGUUAAGCAGAAGAUGCGGAGCCGCAGCGAAAGCGAGUCUGAAUAGGGCGAAUUGAGUACGUGGUCGUAGACCCGAAACCAGGUGAUCUACCCAUGUCCAGGGUGAAGUUCAGGUAACACUGAAUGGAGGCCCGAACCCACGCACGUUGAAAAGUGCGGGGAUGAGGUGUGGGUAGGGGUGAAAUGCCAAUCGAACCUGGAGAUAGCUGGUUCUCUCCGAAAUAGCUUUAGGGCUAGCCUCAAGGUAAGAGUCUCGGAGGUAGAGCACUGAUUGGACUAGGGGCCCCUACCGGGUUACCGAAUUCAGUCAAACUCCGAAUGCCGAUGACUUAUCCUUGGGAGUCAGACUGCGAGUGAUAAGAUCCGUAGUCGAAAGGGAAACAGCCCAGACCGCCAGCUAAGGUCCCAAAGUAUACGUUAAGUGGAAAAGGAUGUGGAGUUGCUUAGACAACCAGGAUGUUGGCUUAGAAGCAGCCACCAUUUAAAGAGUGCGUAAUAGCUCACUGGUCGAGUGACUCUGCGCCGAAAAUGUACCGGGGCUAAACGUAUCACCGAAGCUGCGGACUGUUCUUCGAACAGUGGUAGGAGAGCGUUCUAAGGGCUGUGAAGCAAGACCGGAAGGACUUGUGGAGCGCUUAGAAGUGAGAAUGCCGGUAUGAGUAGCGAAAGAGGGGUGAGAAUCCCCUCCACCGAAUGCCUAAGGUUUCCUGAGGAAGGCUCGUCCGCUCAGGGUUAGUCGGGACCUAAGCCGAGGCCGAAAGGCGUAGGCGAUGGAUAACAGGUUGAUAUUCCUGUACCACCUCCUCACCAUUUGAGCAAUGGGGGGACGCAGGAGGAUAGGGUAAGCGCGGUAUUGGAUAUCCGCGUCCAAGCAGUUAGGCUGGGAAAUAGGCAAAUCCGUUUCCCGUGAAGGCUGAGCUGUGAUGGCGAGCGAAUUAUAGUAGCGAAGUUCCUGAUUCCACACUGCCAAGAAAAGCCUCUAGCGAGGUGAGAGGUGCCCGUACCGCAAACCGACACAGGUAGGCGAGGAGAGAAUCCUAAGGUGAUCGAGAGAACUCUCGUUAAGGAACUCGGCAAAAUGACCCCGUAACUUCGGAGAAGGGGUGCUCUGUUAGGGUGCAAGCCCGAGAGAGCCGCAGUGAAUAGGCCCAGGCGACUGUUUAGCAAAAACACAGGUCUCUGCGAAGCCGUAAGGCGAAGUAUAGGGGCUGACGCCUGCCCGGUGCUGGAAGGUUAAGAGGAGCGCUUAGCGUAAGCGAAGGUGCGAAUUGAAGCCCCAGUAAACGGCGGCCGUAACUAUAACGGUCCUAAGGUAGCGAAAUUCCUUGUCGGGUAAGUUCCGACCCGCACGAAAGGCGCAACGAUCUGGGCACUGUCUCAACGAGAGACUCGGUGAAAUUAUAGUACCUGUGAAGAUGCAGGUUACCCGCGACAGGACGGAAAGACCCCGUGGAGCUUUACUGCAGCCUGAUAUUGAAUGUUGGUACAGCUUGUACAGGAUAGGUAGGAGCCUUGGAAACCGGAGCGCCAGCUUCGGUGGAGGCAUCGGUGGGAUACUACCCUGGCUGUAUUGACCUUCUAACCCGCCGCCCUUAUCGGGCGGGGAGACAGUGUCAGGUGGGCAGUUUGACUGGGGCGGUCGCCUCCUAAAAGGUAACGGAGGCGCCCAAAGGUUCCCUCAGAAUGGUUGGAAAUCAUUCGCAGAGUGUAAAGGCACAAGGGAGCUUGACUGCGAGACCUACAAGUCGAGCAGGGACGAAAGUCGGGCUUAGUGAUCCGGUGGUUCCGCAUGGAAGGGCCAUCGCUCAACGGAUAAAAGCUACCCCGGGGAUAACAGGCUUAUCUCCCCAAGAGUCCACAUCGACGGGGAGGUUUGGCACCUCGAUGUCGGCUCAUCGCAUCCUGGGGCUGUAGUCGGUCCCAAGGGUUGGGCUGUUCGCCCAUUAAAGCGGUACGCGAGCUGGGUUCAGAACGUCGUGAGACAGUUCGGUCCCUAUCCGUCGCGGGCGCAGGAAAUUUGAGAGGAGCUGUCCUUAGUACGAGAGGACCGGGAUGGACGCACCGCUGGUGUACCAGUUGUUCUGCCAAGGGCAUCGCUGGGUAGCUAUGUGCGGACGGGAUAAGUGCUGAAAGCAUCUAAGCAUGAAGCCCCCUCAAGAUGAGAUUUCCCAUUCCGCAAGGAAGUAAGAUCCCUGAAAGAUGAUCAGGUUGAUAGGUCUGAGGUGGAAGUGUGGCGACACAUGGAGCUGACAGAUACUAAUCGAUCGAGGACUUAACCAA
rnacentral:rRNA from 1 species